AACCAGUACCGUGAGGGAAAGGUGAAAAGCACCCCGGAAGGGGAGUGAAAUAGAACCUGAAACCGUGUGCUUACAAGUAGUCAGAGCCCGUUAAUGGGUGAUGGCGUGCCUUUUGUAGAAUGAACCGGCGAGUUACGAUUUGAUGCAAGGUUAAGCAGUAAAUGUGGAGCCGUAGCGAAAGCGAGUCUGAAUAGGGCGUUUAGUAUUUGGUCGUAGACCCGAAACCAGGUGAUCUACCCUUGGUCAGGUUGAAGUUCAGGUAACACUGAAUGGAGGACCGAACCGACUUACGUUGAAAAGUGAGCGGAUGAACUGAGGGUAGCGGAGAAAUUCCAAUCGAACCUGGAGAUAGCUGGUUCUCUCCGAAAUAGCUUUAGGGCUAGCCUCAAGUGAUGAUUAUUGGAGGUAGAGCACUGUUUGGACGAGGGGCCCCUCUCGGGUUACCGAAUUCAGACAAACUCCGAAUGCCAAUUAAUUUAACUUGGGAGUCAGAACAUGGGUGAUAAGGUCCGUGUUCGAAAGGGAAACAGCCCAGACCACCAGCUAAGGUCCCAAAAUAUAUGUUAAGUGGAAAAGGAUGUGGCGUUGCCCAGACAACUAGGAUGUUGGCUUAGAAGCAGCCAUCAUUUAAAGAGUGCGUAAUAGCUCACUAGUCGAGUGACACUGCGCCGAAAAUGUACCGGGGCUAAACAUAUUACCGAAGCUGUGGAUUGUCCUUUGGACAAUGGUAGGAGAGCGUUCUAAGGGCGUUGAAGCAUGAUCGUAAGGACAUGUGGAGCGCUUAGAAGUGAGAAUGCCGGUGUGAGUAGCGAAAGACGGGUGAGAAUCCCGUCCACCGAUUGACUAAGGUUUCCAGAGGAAGGCUCGUCCGCUCUGGGUUAGUCGGGUCCUAAGCUGAGGCCGACAGGCGUAGGCGAUGGAUAACAGGUUGAUAUUCCUGUACCACCUAUAAUCGUUUUAAUCGAUGGGGGGACGCAGUAGGAUAGGCGAAGCGUGCGAUUGGAUUGCACGUCUAAGCAGUAAGGCUGAGUAUUAGGCAAAUCCGGUACUCGUUAAGGCUGAGC
rnacentral:rRNA from 1 species